rnacentral:lncRNA from 1 species
UUACCGUUCAGGAGUUAUGGUUCUUGAAAGAUUGAAAAAUGGAGUUUUCAGUCGUGUCCGUGCAUUUACUCAUGAACUGUUCUACCAAAGCUUCCAAAUUUUAAUAUGUUGUUACUGAUGACAAAUGGAGGUCAAGUUCAAUAAUGACGAUUUUGACUUUUACCGUUCAGGAGUUAUGGUUCUUGAAAGAUUGAAAAAUGGUGUUUCCCGUCGUGUCCGUGCAUUUUCUCAUGAACCAUUCAACCAAAGCUUUUGAAAUUUUAAUAUGUUGUUACUGAUGACAAAAUAGAGGUCAAGUUCCAUAAUGACGAUUUUGACUUUUACUGUUCAGGAGUUAUGGUUCUUGAAAGAUCGUAAAAUGGCGUUUCCAUUCACGUUGUUGCAUUUACUCAUGAACCAUUCAAUCUAAGCUUUUCAAAUAUUAUUAUUUCAAAAUGUUGAUACUGAUGACAAAAUGGAGGUCAAAUUUGAUAUUGAUGAUUUUCACUUUCACCAUUCAUCAGUAAUGGUUCUUGUGAUAUUGCCAGGACACAAAUAAAUGUAAAUAAAUCCGGUUUGCUGUCGUUGUGACAGCCUCUUGUAUAUUUCAUAUUUUGCUGGAUUAUUUUUUGUCGUUUCUCUCUCAUCGUUGUUUUUUUGUAUAUUUAUAUUGAACCUUUUCAAUUAUUUAUCAUGCACCGACAACGCAUGCAAGAUCUUAUAAAUUUUUUUAAAUGUUCUUCUCCCGGUCAUAAAUCUACAUGAAAUAUUUGCCACUGUGCGUUCAGACGACCUAUAUCAAUAAAUCUUAUAUCCUAUAUUUGUAAAUUGCAGUAUUAUAACCAGGUGCUCCGCAGGGCGCAGCUUUAUACGACCGCAGAUGUCGAACCCUGAACAGUUGGGGCAAGUAUGGACAAAACAUUCAAGCGUGAUACAGCUCUGAAUUUGGAUUGUGAUCAAAUUUUUGACAUUACAUGGUUUUUUUUUACACAAAACAAAUGUCAAGAUUUUACAAAUCAAUUAAAGAUUUCUUCUUCAAACUUUUUAAAUCUAAAAUUAAAAUAGUUGAUCAUGACACAGCAUAGGUUUCUGACACAGAACGAAUGUGGUCUAAUGAACUUAAAAGUUUUUUUUUGCCUUUGAGCAAUUCACUAUGCUUUUGAAUAUUAAUCCUCUCAAAAAAAUAAUUGAAGAAAUUUUCUUUUUAUUUAUGAAAUCUGAAAUGAGAAAAAUUUAAACCCCCCCUUUUUUUUCACAUCCCCGUUUCCCUUUUUCCAAAACUGAUAUCAAUUCAAAUUUCUAAUGGAGUUUGCAACAAUAACUACUCUUUUAAAUACAUCAUAAAAUAUUAAAAUGUAAAAUAAAGUGCUUGUUAUCACUGAAUGGUAGU